UAUGCAGCUUAAUAAAAGCCCCUCACUUACACUGAGAAGAUAUCUGUUAAACCCGGAUCAUAUUGAG
rnacentral:tRNA from 1 species